rnacentral:misc_RNA from 1 species
GGAAAGUUCUCUACUUUGUUGAUCUUGAACAACAGAAAAAAGACGGAAUGCUCGAUCUUGACCAGCAGAUAAGAUGUGACGCCCAUGCAUAGAACUUGAUACAUAGAGGAGGAGCACUAUGACCACUUCUAAACCGUAGUAAACGAGGUUCCCCAUCACUUGUAUCGAAGAUCCACAUUUUCAUUGAAUUAUCCGCAGAUGAACUCAUGAGGACAGGCUCAUUAGCAAAGAACUGAAGUGAAACUAUGGAGGAGUCAUGGGCCUCCUUGAUGACAGACUGCAGCCUUCUCUUCUCAAGAUUCCAUAUGCUUAUAACACCAGAUGAACCUCCAGAAGCAAGAAGGGGCUGACCAUCAGUGCUGAAUGACAAGGCAUUAACGGCGCCUCUUGUAGAGUGACUAAAUGAAGCUACCUCUUCAUCAUAGCGAAUGUUAUGAACGUGAAUCUUCCCAUCCGCACAUCCAACAGCAAUAACAUCUAGUGCUGGAGAUGAAACACAACAAGUAAUAGAAGAUCCCCAUCCCUUGAACUCAUAUAUUUUCUUUUUCGUGCUUAUGUU